GAUGAACGCUGGCGGCGUGCCUAAUACAUGCAAGUCGAGCGAACAGACGAGGCGCUUGCUCCUCUGACGUUAGCGGCGGACGGGUGAGUAACACGUGGAUAACCUACCUAUAAGACUGGGAUAACUUCGGGAAACCGGAGCUAAUACCGGAUAAUAUAUUGAACCGCAUGGUUCAAUAGUGAAAGACGGCUUUGCUGUCACUUAUAGAUGGAUCCGCGCCGCAUUAGCUAGUUGGUAAGGUAACGGGUUACCAAGGCAACGAUGCGUAGCCGACCUGAGAGGGUGAUCGGCCACACUGGAACUGAGACAGGGUCCAGACUCCUACGAGAGGCAGCAGUAGGGAAUCUUCCGCAAUGGGCGAAAGCCUGACGGAGCAACGCCGCGUGAGUGAUGAAGGUCUUCGGAUCGUAAAACUCUGUUAUUAGGGAAGAACAAAUGUGUAAGUAACUAUGCACGUCUUGACGGUACCUAAUCAGAAAGCCACGGCUAACUACGUG
rnacentral:rRNA from 1 species